UACAGAGACUGCAAGCGUUAUUCGGAUUCACUGGGCGUAAAGAGCGUGUAGGCGGCCAAGCAGGUCCGUUGUGAAAACUGGAGGCUUAACCUCCAGACGUCGACGGAAACCGCGCGGCUAGAGUCCGGAAGAGGAGAGUGGAAUUCCUGGUGUAGCGGUGAAAUGCGCAGAUAUCAGGAGGAACACCGGUGGCGAAGGCGGGUCUCUGGGCCGAUACUGACGCUGGAGGAG
rnacentral:rRNA from 1 species